rnacentral:miRNA from 1 species
UUCUUAUGUGCGCCGGCACUCU